UACGUAGGGGGCAAGCGUUGUCCGGAUUUAUUGGGCGUAAAGAGCGUGUAGGCGGCCAUACAGGUCAGCUGUGAAAACUCGAGGCUCAACCUCGAGACGUCGGUUGAAACCGUAUGGCUAGAGUCCGGAAGAGGCGAGUGGAACUCCUGGUGUAGCGGUGGAAUGCGCAGAUAUCAGGAAGAACACCGACGGCGAAGGCAGCUCGCUGGGACGGUACUGACGCUGAGGCGCGAAAGCGUGGGGAGCGAACAGG
rnacentral:rRNA from 1 species